rnacentral:lncRNA from 1 species
ACUCACGAAUUGUCGGCUCAUAGUUUUCGAUGCACCGCCUUCUCUCCAAUUCUCUCAAUUCCUCUGCUAUUGAUUUUAUUUUCUUCUCCCUCAUGUUCUUCUCUCGUCUGCCCCGUCUCUCUUUCUCGUCUUCCUUUUGUAUAAUUUCUUUUCUGUUUUUCUUUCAUUACUUCCAUGUACUUGGUAUUGGUGACUUCAAUUUCUGUUCAAAUUUCCUGUUUUAAAUUUUGCUUCAUCA